UACGGAGGGGACUAGCGUUGUUCGGAAUUACUGGGCGUAAAGCGCACGUAGGCGGAUUUGUUAGUCAGGGGUGAAAUCCCGAGGCUCAACCUCGGAACUGCCUUUGAUACUGCAAAUCUCGAGUCCGGAAGAGGUGAGUGGAAUUCCUGGUGUAGCGGUGAAAUGCGCAGAUAUCGGGAGGAACACCAAUGGCGAAGGCAGCUUGCUGGGACGGUACUGACGCUGAGGCGCGAAAGCGUGGGGAGCAAACAGG
rnacentral:rRNA from 1 species